GACAUAGGUCGCAAACGUUAUCCGGAAUUAUUGGGCGUAAAGGGUGCGUAGAUGGUUCAGUAAGUUACUGGUGGGAAAUCGAGGCCCAACCUCGUGGAAGUUAGUAAUACUAUUGAACUUGAGUGCAGGAGAGGUUAACGGAACUUCAUGUGGAGCGGUAAAAUGCGUAGAUAUAUGAAAGAAUAUCAAUAUAGCGAAGGCAGUUAACUAUUCUGCUACUGACAUUGAGGCAUGAAAGCGUGGGGAGCAAAACGG
rnacentral:rRNA from 1 species